GAUGAAGAACGUAGCGAAAUGCGAUAACUAAUGUGAAUUGCAGAAUUCAGUGAAUCAUCGAGUCUUUGAACGCACAUUGCGCCCCCUGGUAUUCCGGGGGGCAUGCCUGUCCGAGCGUCAUUGCUGCCCUCAAGCACGGCUUGUGUGUUGGGCUCCGUCCCCCCGGGGACGGGUCCGAAAGGCAGCGGCGGCACCGAGUCCGGUCCUCGAGCGUAUGGGGCUUUGUCACCCGCUCUGUAGGCCCGGCCGGCGCCAGCCGACAACCAAUCAUCCUGUUUUCAGGUUGACCUCGGAUCAGGUAGGGAUACCCGCUGAACUUAAGCAUAUCAAUAAGCGGAGGA
rnacentral:misc_RNA from 1 species